CAAAGACCUCAACAGAUUAAGUCCUGGCUUGGUGAUCUGACGCAAUUAAAGGGUUAUUCUAGAAGAUAAAAUGAGCCAGUAGUGUGUGUAAUGCAGGUCCAACUCAGCACCAGCACAGAGACUUUUCUUUCCCUUCUAUCCCAGCACUCUGGUCAUCAAGACCCAACACCAUCUGUGUGUGGAAUGAGGGGUACAAGCGUCAAGUCAUUGAAAAGGAUUCGCAUCCACACAAGAGUUUGGAUGAAGCUUAGCAAAGCCUCAGAGAUGUGCCAGCUUUCUUCCAAUGGGCAAUCCAGAAGCCCUGUGCAGGCAGCUGUGGAUGGAAGGAAUAUUCCCCGGGUGCUGAGCCAACAGCUAACAUGUCUCCUACUCCAGACUGACCUGUGGCGCCACCUCGUAGUGUGACAGUGAGAGGAAAUAAAAGAUCAGCAUUUUUAAGAUUUCAUCUAGAAAAAGAUGUACACUUUUGUCCCUUCAGUUUCUCCCUCUCCCCCACUUUAUCAAUGGCCUUCUUUCAUUACUGGCCCAGUUUCCAGGUUCCCUGAGGCAGAAUCGGGUAAAUGGAUAAGACAAAAACAAGAUCAGAAAGGUGAAAGGCAGUCGGGAGGCGCCCUGAGGACUAGGGCCACCGAGGCUGAGACUUGGAGAAGAGAGCUGAUCAGAAAGUGAAGAGGAGCCAUCAAGAAAGGGAGAAGCUCUGGAUCGCCUGGUGAGGAACCGAGUCCCUCAAAGACGUUUCUACAGGUUGUAAACUGAAUCACAAAGUAAAAUCAUGGGAUCACUGGAAGAUAAAAGUUCUUUCAAAAAUGCAAUUAAAGAUGUGAAUGGCUCUUUGAUUGCUUUUGG
rnacentral:lncRNA from 1 species